rnacentral:rRNA from 1 species
AUGGACGACGUGGUCAUGGCUGACGGCCGCACCCAUACGAGCGGCAUCCUUGGUUCCUCUGUGUGUCCUAGGGCGGUGAGGCCCAUGAUCUCGUCCAUGGAGCACUGUAGCAUCAUUGUUGUGCCUCUGCUAUCAUCCGUCGCCAGAACAAGCAGGCAUGUACGUUUCCCUUGCCUGACGCAUUCCCAUAGUCAAUGUGAGUAUUUUGUUCAUAUUGACAUCACCACAUGGCUAUUUCUAAUUUCCAUGUUCCUCUUUUGUAUGAUUGGGAAUUCCUUCUGUCAUGUUUAUUUGUUGCCCAUCUCAUGGCUGGAAUCGUUCCUAAUUAGAGGCUCUUUUCUUGAGUUGGUCAGUACUAGAAGGCACUAA